rnacentral:pre_miRNA from 1 species
AAAAAGACAAACCCUAGAUUUCCGUGUCCAAUGUUUGAUUGUCCGUCUUAUAUGAAUUUUUUUAUAAUUAGUAUUUUUAUUGUGGUUAGAUGAUAAAACAUGAUUAAUACUUUAUGCGUGAUUUGUCUUUUUAUUUUUUUUUCAUAAUUUUUAAAAAUUAAACGGACGGUCAAACGUUGGACACGGAAACCCGGG